rnacentral:misc_RNA from 1 species
GUCACUUAAUAAUAGUGAUGGCCAUUUUUAACUAAUACUCUCUUAUCUACUAAACAAAUCAAAGCCUAUAAUUGUGAUUGUGGCCAUUUGAAUUUGAUCAGAUCAGCCAUGACACCCACCACCACUAGGCUCAGCUCAGCUAGCCGCAGAGGCUCUAUUAGCCAAGCCAAGUACACACGUGGAUCCACGUCAGCUACUUUCAAAACUAUUGGCUACUCGCAUUCUCUUUCUUUUAGAAGCCGACACGUAGAUGGAGUGGGACCCUAUCGCUUUGUUUCUUCAUGACAAAGCUAAAUGAUAUGGCUCCAUAUGCUUACUUUAGCCACGUAUGGGCAUCUAUGUAUUAUGAAAAUGUAUUUAUUUGUGACUUGCAAAGCUAAGGCUUGAUUUGAACCCCGCCUUGGUAGUGCCCACUGACUCGAAAGCCA